UACGGGGGGGGCAAGCGUUGUUCGGAAUUACUGGGCGUAAAGGGCUCGUAGGCGGCCAACUAAGUCAGACGUGAAAUCCCUCGGCUUAACCGGGGAACUGCAUCUGAUACUGGAUGGCUUGAGAUUGGGAGAGGGAUGCGGAAUUCCAGGUGUAGCGGUGAAAUGCGUAGAUAUCUGGAGGAACACCGGUGGCGAAGGCGGCGUCCUGGACCAACACUGACGCUGAGGAGCGAAAGCCAGGGGAGCAAACGGG
rnacentral:rRNA from 1 species